UGGGGAAUUUUGGACAAUGGGCGAAAGCCUGAUCCAGCAAUGCCGCGUGUGUGAAGAAGGCCUUCGGGUUGUAAAGCACUUUUGUCCGGAAAGAAAUCCUUGGCUCUAAUACAGUCGGGGGAUGACGGUACCGGAAGAAUAAGCACCGGCUAACUACGUGCCAGCAGCCGCGGUAAUACGUAGGGUGCAAGCGUUAAUCGGAAUUACUGGGCGUAAAGCGUGCGCAGGCGGUUUGUAAGACCGAUGUGAAAUCCCCGGGCUCAACCUGGGAACUGCAUUGGUGACUGGCAGGCUAGAGUAUGGCAGAGGGGGGUAGAAUUCCACGUGUAGCAGUGAAAUGCGUAGAGAUGUGGAGGAAUACCGAUGGCGAAGGCAGCCCCCUGGGCCAAAUACUGACGCUCAUGCACGAAAAGCGUGGGGAGCAAACAGGAUUAGAUACCCUGGUAGUCCACGCCCUAAACGAUGUCAACUAGUUGUGGGGACUUCAUUUCCUUAGUAACGUAGCU
rnacentral:rRNA from 1 species